rnacentral:lncRNA from 1 species
UUUUGUUUAGAUUUGUUUAAUUUUGACUCUUAUUAUUAAAGUUUGGUAUGGAUUUAAAAUUUAGGGGUAAUUGCUUAUAUACUCCUGAAAAGUUUUCGCUUUCUGAUUUACUCAUCUUAGAAGGCUAAUAUUGAAAAGACCCUCUUUAUGUUCCAACCUAUUUCUAAUAUAUCCCUAAAGUUAAAAUCUGUUAGUUAACUAUGUUAACUCUGUAAAAUUACUAUUUUGCCCUUUCAAAUAUACCCUUCCGCCAUCACUCACUUUCUUAUUUGUCCUUAAAGUCAGGGACACAAAAAGUAUUUUGACUUUUGAUCUUUUCCAAUAUACCCCUCUACCAUCACCAAUAUUUCUUAUUUGCCCUUAAGUUAAGGGCAAAAUUGGUAUUUUAAUUUUUUUUAACUGUGGUAGAUGUUUAACUCACGUUUAACCCAAGUUGACUUAAUAGGAGAUAACUGUGGGGGUAUUCUGUAAUAACGGUUGGACAUAUGAGGGGUAUUUUAGAAAGAAAUAAAAAGUAAGGGUAAAUCGAAUAUUUUCAAACGUAUGAGGGGUAUAUAAGCAAUUAUCCCUAAAAUUUAUCUAUUCAGACUAGCUUAUAUAGACCGGCGCCCUUUUUAGCCCAAAUUGUUGGUAGAAAAUAUUUAGUGUUAACAGAUGAGUUCGGCUGGGAUACUAUCGAUAGCACCAAGCACUUAGUGCCAUGGAGUUUUCCGCCGUUAGAUUUAACCCUUUAACUAUUUUCAUCCGUUAGAUUAUACUGUUCAACUAGCAACUCACUCAACCCUAGAGGGCCCACAUCAUUCUAACCGUAAAUUUCUUUAUCCAAGGACUGAAAACCUAAUAGCACCAACAAUUUUGUGCUAUUGAUAGCAUUCCAGCUAUAACACACUUA